UACACAAUUGAAUCAUAUUUGCCUUAAAAAAAGAAUGAAAUCAUUUCAUUUGCAGUAACAUCGAUGAAACUGGUGGUCACUAUGUUAAGUGCAAUUAGCUAGGAACAUAAAAACAUAUAUUGCUUGUUUU